CCUCCGAGUUUGACUACUCCAAGACUGGCUAUCCGUAAGGGGCUGAUUAGCUGCCCGGGUCGGUGGCGAGGUUCGGCGCAGUCGCUGGCUGUGCAGGGUGACGAUGGUGGUGUCUUUCCGCGAGCUCUUACAGUCUUGUUUAGCCUUCACUCAGUCUGGGGCGUGUGGUACCGCAGGGUCAGUCGCGCAGAUUCAUAUAAUUAAGCCCAAGGAGAGGUCACUAAACUUUUUUGGUGUCUCUCCCUGGGAAGUAACAUGUGUCGUGCAGUUUGGAGAUGUGUACCGCUACGUCUGACAUGCCAGGUGCUGUUUGAGUACAUUUGACGUCUCUGAGCAUUUUGGGGAGAUUUUGGUGAAUGGGCUAUUUUAUCUGAGUGGAUUUUGUGAGCCAUGGUACAAAGUCUGUAGGGCUUUGUGUCCUUGUAGACCUGGAUGUGCAUUUUCUGAGCUUUUGGGCAUUAGAGUCACUGGGUGUUAGACCCUAAUGUAGAAGUCUGAACCCCAGAGUGUGAGGCCUCUGAACUGUUGUGAUUCUGGGUCCCAAGGUGUGAUGUCUCUGAGCUGCUUUAGGAAGGGGUUUGUCUAAAGGUGUAAAGUAUCUGAGCCGUUUGGGGUCUGUGUGUCAGUAGUAAAAUCUCUUACCAUUUUGGCUGUGAGGUCUCUGUCCAGGAACUGAGGGAGUUGCAAACCCGGCAGAUAUGAUUCCGAAGCCUGGAACCCGACGUGCUGAUGGUGCGUUGCUGAGGGUGUCACUUGUCUCCUGGAGUCUCAGUAAUCAGGGAAAGUCUCCCUGAAGGAUGACGAAUGAGCAGAGACCUGGAGGAAGUGAGGGAGCACGCCAUGGGAUUACCUGAAGGAAGAGCAUUCCAGGCAGAAGGAACAGCAGGUGCCACGGUCCUGGCGGGGCAGUCUACUUGGCGUGCUCCUGGAUAUCAAGGAGUCCUGUGAUGCACUGGGUUUGGCACGCCGCACUCAUUGAAAGGUGUCCGGUGCUGCUCUCUGUGUUUGUCCCACAAUCUGUGGUCAUCCCCAUUUCACAGAUGAAGGACCCGAGGCUCCAAGAUGUGCCCUGCACCUUCUCUCCUGCUUACACCUGAAAUUACUGAAGAGGGGUGAAACCUUCUAGUCCAUCAUGAGAGACAGAGGGCUUGAGUGUAAGAGCUGCGGGGAGGACACCAUCCACACUGAAUGUCAGCCAACCAGCGGAGAUCAGUUAUAAUAUGGGAAUCAUGCCCCUCAUAACAUUGCUACUCUUGAUGGAGGGCAGGACUUAAGAAUGAGAAAGGAACUGGGGCAAAGGAGAGAGACAGGAAGGGGAAGCUGGAGGACAGUGAGAAAAAAACCCACUGGCUUCAUCAUAUUGCUUGGAUUUGGCCCAGUUCACCUUGAUUAACUGAUUGUACUAAGAUAUAUUCACUUUUCCCCUGUCCCUACCCUUUCUUUCCCUUCCCUGCUCUUCUCUUUUGUGCCUGAGCAGUUCAGUCCUAAAGCCAUUAGGUGUUGCUGGGCAAGGCAAGUAUAUGCGCGUAGGGGCAUCCCAAUUUGGGAGGUCAGAGCCCAAGGCGGUAAGGAGGAUGUCCCUGGGGGUUCUGUGGGGAGGAGGCUAACUGGCUCAGGGAUUCAGGCUUGAGUGAGGUGUGGAAGUCAAGGGCAGGGGAUGGUUCAGCAUAGCACGUGGGGAGGACCUCUUUGUGGAGGAGGGAUGGCUUAUAUGCAUUGGGAUUUGUCAACUCAGUGAAUAUAUAAGGAUGGUGGGAGCCACGUCUGUCACUUUUGGAAGAGGGAAUUUCCAAUAUGGAAAGGAGGUAAACUGGAACAACUUCUGAAGGGUUCUACUGGAACUAAAGGCCUGGGGCAAAAGGAUGCGAACCUUACAAAAGGUGGACUCUGGGUCGGCCAAAAAAUGUUGAAAGUUUGACUUGCUCUCUCCUACAAGCGGAAGAAAGCAAAUAAAAUCAGGUUCUGGGCUGGAGAAAGCUUCAGAUAAACUAGAGGCAAGAAGGGGAAAAAGCUCUGCAGGCUUUUCUUCAACUUGGCGGCUGCUGCUGCUGCUGCAGCCCCAGCCCCUUCCGGCACUCGCGCCCGAGCUCCCCGGCCGCUGUGCGGUACCCUGAUGAGGAAGCUUGAGACACGUAGAGGUUAACGGGUGAAGGACCUUGCCCAAAGUCACCUGGCCGGCAAGAGCUGAGUCAGAUUGCUACCCAGGCCUGAAAGAAACAGAGAGGUGUGGUAUCUGACCCCCGAAUCUGGAAUACACUGCAGUGCCCAGCGUCCUCUGGAUCAAAAGGCAAGUGAGCAUGUCCAUCGGCAUGAAUCAGAUUACCAGGGAUCUGUGUAUGGAUUGAACAUGAUGUCUCCAAAGUGCAUGAAAGACCACGGGGUGUCGUGUCAAUAUGCACACGUCACAGAGAACAGUUCCUGGUCCAUAUCAAGCUCUAUACAUGUGUUUGCUCCUACCGACGUCAGUAUCAGCAUCCUCAUCCUCAUCAUUACGGGAAGUAGCAUAACCAUACUAUAACGAUAAACAGAACAACAGAUAGAAAAGUAUGAAGACAUUACCUCCCCCCAUGUCCUAAUUUUUAAAACUGCAGAGAAAAAGAACUGGAAGGCGGUAGACCACGUAUUAAGUGUUUUUCUCUUGAGUGUGAAAUUCUAGAUAAUGCCCAAAUAACCUUUUAAUGUGCUGUAUCUUCAUUGUUACAUAGCCAGUUUUUCUAUUAUAAUUUUAAAAUAGUUUUUCUGAAGACCUGUUCUCUUAGGUAUCUUGACGUUUCAGGAUUAAAAAAAAUUGUUUUGGUAUCCUUGCAAAGUGAAAACCCAGUCAGCACACUUAAGUGAGCAGUAUGAUCUUUGGU